CUUUCACAGCGCUGCUUUUGAACAGCCUGGUGCUUUGUAGUUGCUCUAAUCAUGCCAGAGACAGCUGUUGGUGUUUGGAAGUGCCCUGCAGAGGCACUAGACCUGCUGGGCUGGGGAUGACUGACUUGCUGUGAAGCCAGGAGCCAAGGAGACCCAUCCUACAGCAAACAGAGCUGCCAGAAGAAAACAAAUACAACCCUGUUUGGAACAAAGAGAGCUGUGGGCUGCUUGUUUGGAACCUCAUGAUUGGACCUUCCUAAGGUUGCAGCUGGCUGACUCCCUCUGCCUUCCAGAAGAUGUCUCUCACCAUCAAGCAGAGACUGCCAUCACUCAGGAGAUGAAUCUGCCCCAGGUUGUCCAGCUUCAAGACAAGAGCAAGACCUCCAUCACAAGACAUGCCUCUACAAUGUCAUUAAAUAAACACCAAAAACAGAUUACAUGAAAGCAGCCAUUUUAAGCUCAUUGAAAAAGGAGAUACCAACUCCAGUCUUACUCAAGUUGCCCAGAACUGCUGAGAAAAGAGGAUUAUUUCCACCAGCUCCUCUGCAUCACUGACAGGGAAGAGUUCAUUGUGCCAAUUCGUGCCAUUGGUGCCCGAGCCAUCCUGGACUUCCCUGGCCAGCUGGAGUUCUGGCAGUGCCCGGUCAAGUACAGCACUGAGAAAACUCUGCUGGUUCGAAACCUCGCAGCUCAUUACCAGCUGAGCACCCAGAGGAGGGAGAGACUGGCCAAGUUGUUCAGCUGAAAUCAGUGUGUUCUUUAAGCCCCAAGAAGCCCGGCCCCAACCUAGAGCUUGGCUAAACCAAGCAGUUUACUGCAACAUCUCGGAUCAGAGCUGAUCCAGUGGAUUGUCAGGGUGGGAAUUGUCCCAGAGUCAUGGUCCCUGGAUACAAAAAUAAUUGAAGAAAACAGCC